AUUGAACGCUGGCGGCAGGCCUAACACAUGCAAGUCGAGCGGAUGAUGGGAGCUUGCUCCUGGAUUCAGCGGCGGACGGGUGCGUAAUGCCUAGGAAUCUGCCUGGUAGUGGGGGACAACGUUUCGAAAGGAACGCUAAUACCGCAUACGUCCUACGGGAGAAAGCAGGGGACCUUCGGGCCUUGCGCUAUCAGAUGAGCCUAGGUCGGAUUAGCUUGUUGGUGAGGUAAUGGCUCACCAAGGCGACGAUCCGUAACUGGUCUGAGAGGAUGAUCUGUCACACUGGAACUGAGACGCGGGCCAGACUACUACGGGAGGCAGCAGUGGGGAAUAUUGGACAAUGGGCGAAAGCCUGAUCCAGCCAUGCCGCGUGUGUGAAGAAUGUCUUCGUAUUGUAAAGCACUUUAAGUUGGGAGGAAGGGUUGUAGAUUAAUACUCUGCAAUUUUGACGUUACCGACAGAAUAAGCACCGGCUAACUCUGUGCCAGCCGCCGCGGUAAAAC
rnacentral:rRNA from 1 species